AUUGAACGCUGGCGGCAUGCUUUACACAUGCAAGUCGAACGGUAACAGGGUGCUUGCACCGCUGACGAGUGGCGAACGGGUGAGUAAUGCGUCGGAACGUGCCGAGUAGUGGGGGAUGACGCAGCGAAAGUUGUGCUAAUACCGCAUACGUACUGAGGUAGGAAGUGGGGGACCUUCGGGCCUCACGCUAUUCGAGCGGCCGACGUCUGAUUAGCUAGUAGGUGAGGUAAAGGCUCACCUAGGCGACGAUCAGUAGCGGGUCUGAGAGGAUGAUCCGCCACACUGGGACUGAGACACGGCCCAGACUCCUACGGGAGGCAGCAGUGGGGAAUUUUGGACAAUGGGCGAAAGCCUGAUCCAGCCAUGCUGCGUGUCUGAAGAAGGCCUUCGGGUUGUAAAGGACUUUUGUCAGGGAGGAAAUCCCUAGUGCUAAUAACACUGGGGGAUGACAGUACCUGAAGAAUAAGCACCGGCUAACUUCGUGCCAGCCGCCGCAGUAAAAC
rnacentral:rRNA from 1 species